UACGUAGGGUCCGAGCGUUGUCCGGAAUUAUUGGGCGUAAAGAGCUCGUAGGCGGUUUGUCGCGUCUGCUGUGAAAUCCCCGGGCUCAACCCGGGAACUGCGUCCGAUACUGGCAGGCUUGAAUCCGGGAGAGGGAUGCGGAAUUCCAGGUGUAGCGGUGAAAUGCGUAGAUAUCUGGAGGAACACCGGUGGCGAAGGCGGCAUCCUGGACCGGCAUUGGACGCUGAG
rnacentral:rRNA from 1 species